AUCUUUCUAGUACAACUAAAUAUUAGUGACUUCCAAUCACCCGAUCUUGGUUAAAACCCAAGGAAAGAUA
rnacentral:tRNA from 1 species